rnacentral:ncRNA from 1 species
CAUCUUCGGGGUUUGGUGUAAUUCCAUACCGGCGGUAAUAGCCCGCGACCCAAUGUGAUUAAUUUCAUAUUGGCUGACUUAGUGUAAAUCUAAGGCCGACAGUAAAAGUCUGGAUGGGAGAAGAUG